rnacentral:rRNA from 1 species
AACGAACGCUGGCGGCAUGCCUAACACAUGCAAAGUCGAACGGGAUCCUAGCUUGCUAGGUGAGAGUGGCGGACGGGUGAGUAACACGUGGGAAUCUGCCUUUUGGUUCGGGAUAACCGCGGGAAACUGCGGCUAAUACCGAAUGCCCUCGAGAGAGGAAAGAUUUAUCGCCAGAAGAGGAGCCCGCGUCCGAUUAGGUAGUUGGUGGGGUAAAGGCCUACCAAGCCGACGAUCGGUAGCUGGUCUGAGAGGAUGAUCAGCCACACUGGGACUGAGAUACGGCCCAGACUCCUACGGGAGGC